rnacentral:rRNA from 1 species
UACGUAGGGUGCAAGCGUUGUCCGGAAUUAUUGGGCGUAAAGAGCUCGUAGGCGGCUUGUCGCGUCAACUGUGAAAACCCGUGGCUCAACCAUGUGGUCUGCAGUCGAUACGGGCAGGCUAGAAUUCGGUAGGGGAGACUGGAAUUCCUGGUGUAGCGGUGAAAUGCGCAGAUAUCAGGAGGAACACCGGUGGCGAAGGCGGGUCUCUGGGCCGAAACUGACGCUGAGGAGCGAAAGCGUGGGGAGCAAACAGG